CAGAGAUCAUGCCCUCACGGGUAGACCUCCCACCCUGUGUUACUUACGUUUGUUGCUUUGGCAGGUCGCCUUCGGGCACUCGGCUCUCGCUGAGGUGCGCCUGCCAGAGGACCCACAACUCUGUGUUUAGUGUUGUCUGAGUACUAUAUUUAAUACGUUA
rnacentral:misc_RNA from 1 species